rnacentral:rRNA from 1 species
AUUAGAUAAAAAACCAAUGCCCUUCGGGGCUUUCUGGUGAUUCAUAAUAACUAAACGAAUCGCAUGGCCUUGAGCCGGCGAUGGUUCAUUCAAAUUUCUGCCCUAUCAACUUUCGAUUGUAGGAUAGAGGCCUACAAUGGUUUCAACGGGUAACGGAGAAUUAGGGUUCGGUUCCGGAGAGGGAGCCUGAGAAACGGCUACCACAUCCAAGGAAGGCAGCAGGCGCGCAAAUUACCCAAUCCCGACACGGGGAGGUAGUGACAAUAAAUACUGAUACAGGGCUCUUUUGGGUCUUGUAAUUGGAAUGAGUACAAUUUAAAUCCCUUAACGAGGAACAAUUGGGGGGCAAGUCUGGUGCCAGCAGCCGCGGUAAUUCCAGCUCCAAUAGCGUAUAUUAAAGUUGUUGCAGUUAAAAAGCUCGUAGUUGAACCUUGGGUCUGGCUGGCCGGUCCGCCUCACCGCGUGCACUGGUCCGGCCGGACCUUUCCUCUUGGGGAUCCGCAUGCCCUUUACUGGG